rnacentral:rRNA from 1 species
GACGAACGCUGGCGGCGUGCCUAAUACAUGCAAGUAGAACGCUGAAGAGAGGAGCUUGCUCUUCUUGGAUGAGUUGCGAACGGGUGAGUAACGCGUAGGUAACCUGCCUUGUAGCGGGGGAUAACUAUUGGAAACGAUAGCUAAUACCGCAUAACAAUGGAUGACACAUGUCAUUUAUUUGAAAGGGGCAAUUGCUCCACUACAAGAUGGACCUGCGUUGUAUUAGCUAGUAGGUGAGGUAAUGGCUCACCUAGGCGACGAUACAUAGCCGACCUGAGAGGGUGAUCGGCCACACUGGGACUGAGACACGGCCCAGACGCCUACGGGAGGCAGCAGUAGGGAAUCUUCGGCAAUGGGGGCAACCCUGACCGAGCAACGCCGCGUGAGUGAAGAAGGUUUUCGGAUCGUAAAGCUCUGUUGUAAGUCAAGAACGGGUGUGAGAGUGGAAAGUUCACACUGUGACGGUAGCUGACCAGAAAGGGACGGCUAACUACGUG